CCAUCUUAGGAAUUACAUAUGAAAAGGGUUUCAGUUUACAGUCUUAGGAAUGAAAAAAAGGAAAUUGAUCUGAGAUGCGUGGGUCUCCCUCUUCAGUAGGAUUUAAAAGUAUGCUGCGUGCAG